GAUGAACGCUGGCGGCGUGCCUAAUACAUGCAAGUCGAGCGAACAGACGAGGAGCUUGCUCCUCUGACGUUAGCGGCGGACGGGUGAGUAACACGUGGAUAACCUACCUAUAAGACUGGGAUAACUUCGGGAAACCGGAGCUAAUACCGGAUAAUAUAUUGAACCGCAUGGUUCAAUAGUGAAAGACGGUUUUGCUGUCACUUAUAGAUGGAUCCGCGCCGCAUUAGCUAGUUGGUAAGGUAACGGCUUACCAAGGCGACGAUGCGUAGCCGACCUGAGAGGGUGAUCGGCCACACUGGAACGGGGACACGGUCCAGACGCCUACGGGAGGCAGCAGUAGGGAAUCUUCCGCAAUGGGCGAAAGCCUGACGGAGCAACGCCGCGUGAGUGAUGAAGGUCUUCGGAUCGUAAAACUCUGUUAUGAGGGAAGAACAAAUGUGUAAGUAACUAUGCACGUCUUGACGGUACCUAAUCAGAAAGCCACGGCUAACUACGUG
rnacentral:rRNA from 1 species